rnacentral:rRNA from 1 species
CCUACGGGAGGCAGCAGUAGGGAAUUUUCGGCAAUGGGCGAAACCCUGACCGAGCAACGCCGCGUGAGCGAAGAAGUUAUUCGUAAUGUAAAGCUCUUUUAACAGGGAAGAAAGAGAACUUUGAUGGUCCCUGAAGAAUAGGCUCCGGCUAACCACGUGCCAGCAGCUGCGUUAAUACGUAGGGGGCGAGCUUUAUCCGGAUUUAUUGGGGGUAAAGGGUGGGUAGAGGGGAUAGAAAGUCUUUGGUAAAAAUGCUGGGCGCAACCCAGUAGGGCAAAAGAUACUGCAAGGCUAGAGUAUGACAGAGGCAAGUGGAACUACAGGUGUAGCGGUGAAAUGCGUAGAUAUAUGGAAGAACACCAGUGGCGAAGGCGGCUUGCUGGUUCGAUACUGACGUUGAGGCACGAAAGCGUGGGGAGCAAACAGGAUUAGAUACCCUUGUAGUC